CCUACGGGAGGCAGCAGUGAGGAAUAUUGGUCAAUGGGCGGGAGCCUGAACCAGCCAAGUCGCGUGAGGGAAGACGGUCCUAUGGAUUGUAAACCUCUUUAGGCGGGGAGCAAUGCCGGGCACGCGUGCCCGGAGGGAGAGUACCCGCAGAAUAAGCAUCGGCUAACUCCGUGCCAGCAGCCGCGGUAAUACGGAGGAUGCGAGCGUUAUCCGGAUGUAUUGGGUUUAAAGGGUGCGUAGGCGGAUUUUUAAGUCAGCGGUAAAAUGUCCGGGCUCAACCCGGGCCGGCCGUUGAAACUGGGGAUCUUGAGUGGGCGAGAGGUAUGCGGAAUGCGUGGUGUAGCGGUGAAAUGCAUAGAUAGCACGCAGAACUCCGAUUGCGAAGGCAGCAUACCGGCGCCCGACUGACGCUGAGGCACGAAAGCGUGGGGAUCGAACAGGAUUAGAUACCCCAGUAGUC
rnacentral:rRNA from 1 species